rnacentral:rRNA from 1 species
UACGUAGGGUGCAGGCGUUAAUCGGAAUUACUGGGCGUAAAGCGUGCGCAGGCGGUUUCUUAAGUCAGAUGUGAAAGCCCCGGGCUUAACCUGGGAACUGCGUUUGAAACUGGGAGACUAGAGUGUGGCAGAGGGGGGUGGAAUUCCACGUGUAGCAGGUGAAAUCGUAGAUAUGUGGAGGAACACCGAUGGCGGAAGGCAGCCCCCUG